AAGGAGGGAGACAUCAAGCCUGUGAAAAUUUAGGAAACUUCCUGGACUAAAACUAACAUGCACAAAACAGCAACACCACCUACCCCUCCCAUUGCCUUCUUUAGAGUAAGUUCUCUGUUCUGAAGCCUUGGCACAGGCUGACAUCCUUCUUACAUAUUUUACUGAAUUGCAGAUGUGAAACUGGUGCCCUUUCCUGUGAAGCUAACCACAGCACUGGCCCAAGAGUCACAGAAGAUAAAGGAAGAGACCCAAGAGGAGUUGGACGAGCAAGUCCUGCUGCUGCUGCAGACGCUGCACACACUGGUCUAGGAUUUUGAGAAACUGAAGGAGGAGAUCCAGCUGUUGCUGGAGUGACUGUCAGCUGGCCCUGCUCCACUUAGACAAGGUGAGCCAGCCCAUCAGAAACAAUGUGCCUGAUUUGCAAUGGCACCCGAUGUCUUGCAUUGUAAUUGCAUUGACCUUCCCAGUAUAAAAGGAUAUGACUGUUGCUGCUUCUCUUCCACUUUUCAAAUGUCAUCUAAAGUAUCUCUUGCAGCCCACAGGAAUUUGGAAUUAUGCUAAAAAGUGGAUUCUGAGAAUCAUGUUUGUAACUUAAAUGAGCUUACACAGUGCAUAUCACCUUGCAUAUGUCAAAAUAAAAAAUGAAAUAAAAAUCGAUACAAUCUCUUCUUCUCCCUGGAGUAAAGACAGUAUCUUUUUUCUGAAUACUAUGUGUUCAUCAGUCUUCUCAUCACAGCUUCAGUGCCUGUAUCAGAUAACAUCUUAGGAAGUCUCAUCCAGGCUACCCUUCCUCCAGACACACUGGAUAUGAUCUUAAUUGCUAGAAUAUUAAGAGAAGAUAAUAAGAUAAGAAGGGAAGCAGCAACCAUAUGAUGUGAUAAUUGUGAGUCUGGGACCUGGAAGCUUUACAAAAGAUAUUGGGUAAUAAAGACUUGGAGACUUACAUGUUUAACUUCCUUAUCCAGAGUGAUCUGAUGGGCAUAUUUAUUAUGAUGAUGGUAAAGAUAUUAAGUUCAAAUUCAACCCCCAUCUGAGAGGACUGGAAGACUGUUUAAGUUGUCAGGGUAGCCUGACAAUGAACCAGGGCUGCAUACAAACCAUUAGUGAAAACUGCAAAGAUACAUGUAACACACAGGCAAAUAUACAAAGAGAACCUUGUAUGGAGUGUAAAAGAAGCAUACGCCUACAAACUGCUGGAGGCUUUGAAAGCAAUUUACCGAGAAAGCUUUUUACAGUGGCCCACUUUGGAGCCAUCGAUAAUUAACUAAACAAAUAUUUCAGAGUGUAUCCAACUGGUUUCAGCCAAUUUCCUUAGGGAGUUGUGAUACUUUAAAUUCCAUAUAAUGAUACUGUUGGAUCAGUGUCUUCAGCUGCAGUAUGUAAGCACACAGGACUUGAUUCAUGAUCAUAUGGGUAAUAAUUUGAGAUCAAUAUUUUAAAUAAUGUAAUAGAAAACCAGCAAGGAAUCUCUCACAAGUAAUAAAUAGCGCUUGAGCCUUAGUUGUGGGUAUAUGGAGUCAUUAUGAAUUCUGCCAAGUAUAUAGAUUUAUGCUUAUACAAAUUACUGAGUGAUAAAAGACAACAUUUCUCAUAAUAGCAAUAUGGUUUCAUAACCUAUCCAAGAGCAUAGGUUUCUUCAUGUAGGACACCAAGAAACCAAAGCAUUAUUCUAACCACUUAUUCAUAAUAGGUCUGACUUUAGCAGCUGAUAUUUCUGCCUUGCAGAGACUCUGUUUUUCCCAGUCUUGAGAUGAGAUGUGAAGCUUGUCUUAUUCACACUGCGUGGCAUAUGGAAAGAAGCUCAGGCUUUAGAGGCAGAAAUACAUCUGCUCGAGGGAUCUGCUUAGUGCUAGUUUCUGCUUCUGUAAAAUGCGAAU
rnacentral:lncRNA from 1 species